GACGAACGCUGGCGGCGUGCUUAACACAUGCAAGUCGAACGGAAAGGCCCUGCUUGCAGGGUACUCGAGUGGCGAACGGGUGAGUAACACGUGGGUGAUCUGCCCUGCACUUCGGGAUAAGCCUGGGAGAAUGGGUCUAUUACCGGAUAGGGGACAUUCUUAGUGUGAGGGUGGGAAGGAUUUUUCGGUGUAGGAUGAGCUCGCGGGCUGUCAGCUGGUUGGUGGGGUAAUGGCCUACCAGGGCGGCGACGGGUAGCCGGCCUGUGAGGGUGGACGGCCACCUUGGGUCUUAGGUACGGCCCCGGUUGCGACGGGUGGCCGCAGGGGGGAAGAUUGCACCAUGGGCGCCAGCCUGGUGCAGCGACGCCUCGUGGUGGAUGGCGGCCUUCGGGUUGUAAACUCCCUUCGCGAGGGACGAAGCCUUUUGUGACGGUACCUAGAUAAGAAGCACCGGCUAACUACGUG
rnacentral:rRNA from 1 species